CGGGCUGGCUACUUCAAGUAGCUGGUUCCUUCCGACUCCUUGUUCUGGGGUCGAGUAUGUCCUGGGGAGUGCUCUUUUCUUCUAACAACACGUUGAAAUCGAUUCGAAAAAUGAAAAUCUCCAUAUAGGCCCAGAUAGAAGUUUAUACAUUACGCGGAUAACAUGGGUUUGUUGUUAUGUGAACGCUCGUAGUUUAUUUGGUGUUCUUACAUAUGUCUGAUGGUAUUUUUACUGUAUGGCCCUUACAAUCUCCGGAUUGAUAUCCCUUGCGGAUAUACUGCGUACAUUAUCAGUGUUGUUUUAAAUUUAGGAUACCAUCAGGACCCGUCUUGAAUCGAGAACCCUGAAGUCUAACUUGUCUGCGCCUCAAUGGGAUUAUUAAAACCUAUUCGGCAAAUGAGAUUGACUGGUGAAUGCCAUUACAAGUGGAAUUAUUUAUGAUAUUUUUCCAUCCCCGGGAAUCUUAGGGGAAGUAUUUGAACUAUUCAGAUAUACCGAGCGCUCACCAACUGUGACCCUAAGGACGGAAAACUAUGCCUGAUCUCGUUGAACUCGGGCCAAACCAAGAUGGAAGACCGUAGCAAUUCUGACGUGCAAAUCGAUUGUCAGAUUUGGGUAUAGGGGCGAAAGACCAAUCGAACCAUCUAGUACCUGGUUUCCUUCCAAA
rnacentral:rRNA from 1 species